rnacentral:rRNA from 1 species
CCUACGGGUGGCAGCAGUGAGGAAUAUUGGUCAAUGGGCGAGAGCCUGAACCAGCCAAGUCGCGUGACGAAUGAAGGCUCUAUGGUUUGUAAACUUCUUUUAUAUGGGAAUAUAGUGAGGAACGUUUUCCUUUUUGUAUGUACCAUUUGAAUAAGCAUCGGCUAACUCCGUGCCAGCAGCCGCGGUAAUACGGAGGAUGCGAGCGUUAUCCGGAGUUAUUGGGUUUAAAGGGUGCGUAGGUGGUUAAUUAAGUCAGCGGUGAAAGUUUGUGGCUCAACCAUAAAAUUGCCGUUGAAACUGGUUGACUUGAGUAUAUUAGAGGUAGGCGGAAUGCGUGGUGUAGCAGUGAAAUGCAUAGAUAUCACGCAGAACUCCGAUUGUGAAGGCAGCUUACUAAACUAUAACUGACACUGAAGCACGAAAGCGUGGGGAGCAAACAGGAUUAGAUACCCCAGUAGUC